rnacentral:rRNA from 1 species
AUUGAACGCUGGCGGCAGGCCUAACACAUGCAAGUCGAGCGGAUGAAGGGAGCUUGCUCCUGGAUUCAGCGGCGGACGGGUGAGUAAUGCCUAGGAAUCUGCCUGGUAGUGGGGGAUAACGUCCGGAAACGGGCGCUAAUACCGCAUACGUCCUGAGGGAGAAAGUGGGGGAUCUUCGGACCUCACGCUAUCAGAUGAGCCUAGGUCGGAUUAGCUAGUUGGUGGGGUAAAGGCCUACCAAGGCGACGAUCCGUAACUGGUCUGAGAGGAUGAUCAGUCAAACUGGAACUGGGACCCGGUCCAGGCUCCUACGGGAGGCAGGAGGGGGGAAUUUUGGACCAUGGGCGAAGGCCUUAUCCAGCCAUGGCGGGUGUGGGAAGAAGGUUUUCGGAUUGUAAAACCCUUUAAGUUGGGGGGAAGGGGAGUAAGUUAAUACCUUGCUUUUUUGGCGGUACCAAAAAAAAAAGCCCCGGCUAACUUCG